rnacentral:rRNA from 1 species
GAUGAACGCUAGCGGCAGGCCUAACACAUGCAAGUCGAGGGGUAGAAGGAGCUUGCUCCUUUGAGACCGGCGCACGGGUGCGUAACGCGUAUGCAAUCUGCCUUGUACUGAGGGAUAGCCCAGAGAAAUUUGGAUUAAUACCUCAUAGUAUAUAACCUUCGCAUGUUGGUUAUAUUAAAGUUCCAACGGUACAAGAUGAGCAUGAGUCCAAUUAGUUAGUUGGUAAGGUAACGGCUUACCAAGACGAUGAUGGGUAGGGGUCCGGAGAGGGAGAUCCCCCACACUGGUACUGAGACACGGACCAGACUCCUACGGGAGGCAGCAGUGAGGAAUAUUGGUCAAUGGGCGCAAGCCUGAACCAGCCAUGCCGCGUGCAGGAUGAAGCAUCUAUGGUGUGUAAACUGCUUUUAUACGGGAAGAAACACUCCUACGUGUAGGAACUUGACGGUACCGUAAGAAUAAGGAUCGGCUAACUCCGUGCCAGCCGCCGCAGUAACAC